rnacentral:misc_RNA from 1 species
AAGUCGUAACAAGGUUUCCGUAGGUGAACCUGCGGAAGGAUCAUCAGUGAACUAUCACUAUUUUACACACCCCUUUUGUGCAAAUUGGCGGCCUGAAAGUGUUUUUUGUUUUUUGCGCUCUUCUUUUUGAGGGGUCGCAAAAACAACAGCACUCUAGGUGCCGCCCAUUUUUUUUACAACAAAAACAACCCCUUUUAUCCCCUUUUAUUCAAAAACAUACCCAAUACAAAAAAACUAAAGACAACUUUUAACAACGGAUCUCUUGGCUCUC